UUUUCUUCGAGAGAUCUUCUUUGUACUCCGCCUUUUCGACAUUAAUAAAUUAUUUGCUCCGUCUUCGCCCGUGGACGUAGGCCGUUGGCCGAACUACGUAAAUAUCGGUGUAUUCUUUCCGCUUAUCUUUUCGUUUCCUGCAUUAAAUUAUUUUCUGGAUCUAUUUUUCACAGUUCCGAUUUUAACAAAGCGUAUAGAUAUAGCACCCACGGAUCUCGAUUAUGACUCGACCCAACCAGCCUCACAUCACUUCGAACAUGACUCGGUCCAUCCAGACUCACGCCAUUUCGAAUAUGACUUGACUCAAUAUGACCUCCCGCCACAAGGCAAGAUGCUGAUCUAUUUAAAUCAAUAAUCUCCGCUUCAGCACCUGGACGCAUUUGCAGUAUGCAGGAAUCGAACCCGUGAUCUUUGUCUCUAAUAUCACUUGUCGGAUCGUUGGUGCUAACCAUUAAUCCCCAAAACUCGAGCUGUUAGAAAUAUACAACGAAUUCACAUAAAGGAUACAGAUAUAGCGCACAUGAAUCUCGAUUGUGACUCGGCUCAACCAGGCUCACGCCAUUUCGAGCAUGACUCGGCCCACCCAGUCUCACGCCACCUCGAAUAUGACUCGGCCCACCCAGUCUCACACCAUUUCGAACAUGACUCGGCCCAACAUGACCUCUCGCCACAGGGCAGUAUACUGGCCCAUUUAAGCCAACAUUGAUUUGCUAUCAAAUUUUCGAGUCAAUUUCAAAAUUCUUUAAUUCACCUGUACGAAUAUGUCCAAUUUUUUACUGCCGCAAAAUUAGAAAAUUUUUUAAUUAUUUUUGUUAACACAACAUAAUAUUUCAACAAACAUUUUGAUCGUGGAACAUAGUAAUUUAUUUGGUAUUUGAGUGUUUGUUAUAUAUAUAUAUAUAUAUAUAUAUAUAUAUAGAGAGAGAGAGAGAGAGAGUUAGUCUCCUAUACUAUUUAUAGUACCGGGACUCCGGUUCUAUAGUCUCAUUUUCAAUUUUAGGGUGUUCAAAUCCACGAUCCACACGUUAAAAGUGAUUUAGGGUAUUUAAAAUUUUUAGAAAUAAAAUUUUAUAUUUUUUCGACAUAGUUUACUUUGUAAUCAAAUUAUUUUAAAAUUGUCAAUUUUCAAUGAUUACUAUGGCGAGUUUGGAGUUUAACGGUGUAGAAGAAUUUAAAUUUCUUUAAAUUUUGAUAGAAAAUAUUUUAAACUAUCUAGAUUAAGAUUAACAUUCUUGAUCUUGAAUUUAAAAGUCCUAUACUCAAAUUUUAAAGAUUAUACAAUUUCAACCGUCCAUCUUAACAUAAAUUAUUUACUAAGUAAACGAUGUCGAAAAAAUUUAAAAUUUUAUUUCUAAGAACUUUAUAUACUCUAUAUCAUAUUUUACGGUAUGGAUCGUUAAUUUGAAUACCCUAAGAUCAAAAACAAGACAAAAGUACCGGAGCUCCGGUACUAUGAUAGUAUAGUAGCUCCGGUACUAUAGAUAGUAUAGUAGCCUAACUUUAUAUAUAUAUAUAUAUAUAUAGAGAGAGAGAGAGAGAGAGAGAGAGAGAGAGAGAGAGAGGCUGGUAUGCGUCUGACAGUACGAAGUCCUCUGUGUUUUCAAGUGGAUGUUGGGACUUUCAAAUUAACGAUCGGCUCCGUUAGACCAGAUCUAGAGUAUUUGAAUUACCUAAAAAAUAAAUUUCAUGAUUUUUCGAUAUCAUUUGCCUAGUGAUCGAAGGGGCUCAAAUUAAUAAUUUUAAUGGCCAUGAUGAGCCGUUUACAAGUUUAACGGUGGAAAAAUAUUCAAAUCACGUGAAAUUUUGAUGAAAAUUUUUUUAUACUAUAUAUAACAAGGUCAAUAUUUUUGAUCUAAAAUUUUAAUAUCAUAUCAUCACAUUUUAUAAGAUUUUUAUUUNCAUUAAAUUUGACAAUCGGCUCUGUUAAGUAUAAUUUAUGCUAUUAGAACUAUUUAGAAAUUAAAUUUUAUAAUUUUUAAUAUUAUUUACUAAGUGAUUAAAGGGUCGCAAAAAUAACUAUUUUAAUGACAAAUGUUGCACUUUUGUAAGUUCAAUGGUACAGAACAAUCUAAAUUAAGAGAAAUUUUUUGUAGAAAUCCAAUUUAUAAUCACGAGUAAGAUCAAUAUUUCUAAUUUGAAAUUUAAAUCUUAUUUCACUAUUUUUAAAAUAAAUUUAUUUUCAGCCGUUUAUUUUUUUAGGCUAUUUUUUACUAAGCAAAUAAAGUCAAAAAAUUAAAAAAUUUGAUUUUUAGAUAAUUCUAAUGCGGUAGAUCUUGUCUAAUAGAACCGGCCGUUGAAUUUGAUAUCCUAUCAUCAAGAAUAAUUUAUAAAUACGGAAGCCUCUAUGCUUUCCAAAGCAUAAAAGUUUAGCUAUAAAUGUCUAACUAUAAAGUCCUUGUGUACUCAUAAGUUGUUUUUAAUAAUGGAGCUUUCGAAUCGACGAUUCAUACCGUUAAAUAUAAUUUAGAGUAUUUAAAACUUUUAAAAAAUAAAUUUCGUAAAUUUUUAAAAUUAUUAUAAAAUCUAUUCGGCACAAAUGAACGAUUAAAAUCGAACGACUUCCUAAAAAUAGAUGAUCGGAUACUUUAAUUUAACAUCGGAGUUAUUAAUCUUUAUUUAGAUAGCUUUUGUCAAAAACUUAACGAAUUUCGACUUUUUUACACCGUUAAACUAGCAAGUAUCUCAUAUCAGCAAUUAAAAAUUAUCAAUUUUAAAAGUUUUUUUAUUAGUAAAUGACAUCAAAAAAUUAUAAAAUUUAAUUUCUAAAAUUUUAAAUGCUCUAAAUUAUAUUUAACGGUUUGAAUCGUCGAAUCGGAAGAUCUAUUAUCAAAAAUAAUUUAUGAAUACGAAGACGAUUAUACUCAUAAGAGUAUAGUACUAUGGCUAUAUAUACAUAUAUCUUAAACAGAAAUGCUAUUAGUAGCAAAUGGGUUU
rnacentral:lncRNA from 1 species